GGAUUCGCUUCACAGGGCAGUGCCGACGCUCGAGGUAUCGAUUUCCUCUUCUGGGCUUUUAUCUGCGGGGGAGCUAUCGUGGCGAUCUGUGCGAGGAGCAGUGGAAGAAGGGAACAGCAUGCGGUGGUGGAGUCUCUCGAUUGACGUAUUCCGAAAA